GUGCUUGCUUCAACAGCACAUAUACUGAAAUUGCAACGAUACAGAGAAGAUUAAUAUGACUCUGUGCAAGGAUGACUCACAAAUUCAUGAAUUGUUCCAUAUUUUC
ensembl:snRNA U6 U6 spliceosomal RNA